rnacentral:rRNA from 1 species
GUAGGCAGCAGGCACGCAAAUUACCCACUCCCGGCACGGGGAGGUAGUGACGAAAAAUAACAAUACGGGACUCUUCCGAGGCCCCGUAAUUGGAAUGAGAACACUUUAAAUCCGUUAGCGAGGAUCUAUUGGAGGGCAAGUCUGGUGCCAGCAGCCGCGGUAAUUCCAGCUCCAAUGGCGUAUAUUAAAGUUGUUGCGGUUAAAAAGCUCGUAGUUGGAUUCCUGGUUCCCGGUCUGGCGUGCCGUUUCGUCCCCCUCGAACCGAAUUUUCUCUUUCCUCCGGCCUUCGUCGCGGGAGAAGCGAGCGCUGUCGUCUGCGGCGUGCGUGCGCGCGUUCGGCCACCUGCUUUCGUGCUCUCGGGGAAAAGAUUUUUCGAAGAUGUUUUCGUUCGGCGAGGUAGUAGUAGUGCGCGCGUGAGGAUGUCUCUGUCAAACGAGCGUCGGCGGGGCGACCCGUCGAUGGCCAACGAAGAGGCAUGCCUCUCCCUCUGCUACCCUCGUGCGGCGAUUCUCUUCGCAUUUCUUCUUCUCCCGCAGAGGCGACUGCGAUUGGAGUCUGUUCGCGUGGCGUUCGUUGGCAGCUUCGCGGCUCGUGGACGAAGCGGCGAUAGGUCGAUCAAGGGAAGGAAAAGGACGUUCGAACAAAAAGGCGAACGGGUCUAAAAACGCGCCAGUUCAAAUUCACAACCGGGACCAGUGGGGCCGGACCGUACCCCUCGGUGCUCUUCGCCGGGUGUCGAGGGGAAGGGGCCGGACGAUUUACUUUGAACAAAUCAGGGUGCUCAAAGCAGGCACGCUUUCCCCGAAGCAGUGGCCUGAAUGAAAUAAGCAUGGAAUAAUGGAAAAGGACCUCGGUUCUAUUUUGUUGGUUUUCGGAACUCGCGAGGUAAUGAUUAAGAGGGACUGACGGGGGCAUUCGUAUUGCGGCGCUAGAGGUGAAAUUCUUGGACCGUUGCAAGACGAACUACUGCGAAAGCAUUUGCCAAGAAUGUUUUCAUUAAUCAAGAACGAAAGUUAGAGGGUCGAAGGCGAUCAGAUACCGCCCUAGUUCUAACCAUAAACGAUGCCAACCAGCGGUUCGCCGGCGUUCCUCCGAUGACUCGGCGAGAAGCUCCCGGGAAACCAGAGUCUCUGGGUUCCGGGGGAAGUAUGGUUGCAAAGCUGAAACUUAAAGGAAUUGACGGAAGGGCACCACCAGGAGUGGAGCCUGCGGCUUAAUUUGACUCAACACGGGAAAACUUACCCGGCCCGGACACUAGAAGGAUUGACAGAUUGAGAGCUCUUUCUUGAUUUGGUGGGUGGUGGUGCAUGGCCGUUCUUAGUUGGUGGAGCGAUUUGUCUGGUUAAUUCCGAUAACGAACGAGACUCUAUCCUGUUAAAUAUGCCGAGCUGUAUUUGAAAAGAGGUACUCGAAAAAAAAAAGAAGCGCCGGGAACCAAGGGACGCGCUUUUCACGGGACCAGCGUGCCGCAAUCUCAUACCGCGCGAGUUCUCGAACACGCACGCAGCGGCACUUGCGCGUUUCAUGACCCGUCUUUCUCUCUCUGCGGUCGCGGUUCCGGCCGUGCUCGUAGGGUUUGGAUUUCGGAAUGACUCGUGGGGUGUCGUUUCGUGUCGUUCGGUUCUCGCGGCUGCUGGGUUGCGGGCGCCCCCGCGGAAAAGAGCGUUUUCUCUCCCUGCGCUUCGAAAAGAGACCCAGGCAGCUCGAGAAAACAAGCUUCUUAAAGGGACAAGCGGCGUCCAGCCGCACGAAAUUGAGCAAUAACAGGUCUGUGAUGCCCUUAGAUGUCCGGGGCCGCACGCGCGCUACAAUGAAGGAAUCAACGUGUAUUUUUCCCCGCUUCGAAAGGAGCGGGUAACCCGUUGAAAUUCCUUCGUGAUAGGGAUCGGGGCUUGGAAUUGUCCUCCGCGAACGAGGAAUUCCCAGUAAGCGCGAGUCAUAAGCCCGUGUUGAUUACGUCCCUGCCCUUUGUACACACCGCCCGUCGCUACUACCGAUCGAACGGCUUAGUGAGGUCUUCGGACCGGCACCGGCCGCGAGUCUUGCCCUUGCGUCUCACGUGCGCUCGGGGGGUCUCUCGGACGCGCGCCGGGAAGAUGCCCGAACUGACCGUUAGAGAAG